UUCUAGACUUGCUCUGCAUGGCGGGCUCCCCGCACUUUGGUGCGGCCAACCGACAUGGGGCUGUCUCUUCACUCUCCCUCCCGACAGAACAUUUGCUGGGUUGGGAUGCUCGUUAUUGGUUGCCUGUGUGGUUCUACCCUUUCGUGGGUAGCGAAGUCGUCCCUUGAUGGAUAUUUGCUUGCCCGGCUGACAUUGUUUUGUCGCUGGGGCAGCCGAAAUGUUGGCGAAAUCCUUGUGUUGUUGCGUGGUGUUCCGCCGUGUCACCAUCACUUGGAUUUUUGCCGGCUCUCAUGGAUGCUGUGCCUACGGUUAGCUCUGUGGGCCUCUGUCCCACAGACUUCGGGAGGUCCCUUGUAUGGAUCAUUGGUCUUGCGCUGGAUUGUCGUGCUGUCAACGGCGACAUGUUCAAUCUGUGCGUGAGGUUGGUGCACCCGUGCAUGCGGAAUGCCUCUCCGAUUGUAUGAGCAGCGAUUGCCCGUUUGCGUCAUGAAAAGGGCCUCCCGUUUGGGUUGGUGCUGGACAUGGCGUGCCGGCUCUCGUUUAAGACGUGC
rnacentral:misc_RNA from 1 species